rnacentral:rRNA from 1 species
GUGCCAGCAGCCGCGGUAAUACGUAGGGUACGAGCGUUGUCCGGAAUUAUUGGGCGUAAAGAGCUCGUAGGUGGUUGGUCACGUCUGCUGUGGAAACGCAACGCUUAACGUUGCGCGUGCAGUGGGUACGGGCUGACUAGAGUGCAGUAGGGGAGUCUGGAAUUCCUGGUGUAGCGGUGAAAUGCGCAGAUAUCAGGAGGAACACCGGUGGCGAAGGCGGGACUCUGGGCUGUAACUGACACUGAGGAGCGAAAGCAUGGGGAGCGAACAGGAUUAGAUACCCUGGUAGUCCAUGCCGUAAACGUUGGGCACUAGGUGUGGGGGACAUUCCACGUUCUCCGCGCCGUAGCUAACGCAUUAAGUGCCCCGCCUGGGGAGUACGGUCGCAAGGCUAAA